rnacentral:rRNA from 1 species
CGGGUGGCUGCACCAGUGAGGAAUAUUGCACAAUAGGGGGAACCCUGAUGCAGCAACGCCGCGUGGAGGAUGACGCAUUUCGGUGUGUAAACUCCUUUUAUAUGUCAAGAAAAUGACGGUAGCAUAUGAAUAAGCACCGGCUAACUCCGUGCCAGCAGCCGCGGUAAUACGGAGGGUGCAAGCGUUACUCGGAAUCACUGGGCGUAAAGGACGCGUAGGCGGGUUGGAAAGUCAGGUGUGAAAUCCUACAGCUUAACUGUAGAACUGCACUUGAAACUUCUAAUCUAGAGUAUGGGAGGGGGAGAUGGAAUUAGUGGUGUAGGGGUAAAAUCCGUAGAUAUCACUAGGAAUACCUGAAGCGAAGGCGAUCUCCUGGAACAUUACUGACGCUAAGGCGUGAAAGCGUGGGGAGCAAACAGGAUUAGAUACCCCCGUAGUC